rnacentral:lncRNA from 1 species
UAUGAUUUGGCCGGAGCAAAUGUAUGGAUACAAGCGAGAUAUUUGAUAUAAUAGUGUAGUAAUCCGUGUGAUACGAUGAAUAGAUAAUUAAAGAAAAAAUAAAAAAACGGCGAUAAAGGAAGAGGAAACAGUAACAUAAGAAGUGAUGAUAAAGGAUAGGAUUCAUCUUAUAUAUGAAGGCAGGUAACAGUCGAAGGAAGUAGAAGAGGAACAGUUCGGCCCAAUGUAGAGAUGUGGCCCAGUUCGGCUCAAGCAAAGAAAGAAAAAAUUCAGUUUGAUUUAAAGAAAGAAAGAGAAAAAUAUGUGGAGAACUUGAGCUGGUUCGAGGGAGCCCAUACGCAAUAAUGAUUGGUUCGGUUUAAGCAAAGAAAGUGAAAAAUUCGAUUCAGUUUAAAUAAAGAAAAAGAAAAAGAAAAAUAUGUAGAGGAUUUGAGCCAGUUCGGAAUACGGUGAGUCCACAUCAAACAAUGAAGGAAAUGUUGACAUAUGGCAAAUUUAUAAAAAAUAAUGUAUAGGUAUAAAGGUAUAAAUAUGCGGAGUUUGAAAAUAGGGUAACAACUAAUUGUCCAGUACAGUUGGUUAGCAUCUGAAUUGUGAAUUAAGAGAUUAGGAGUUUGAGAAUUAGAAUGAUAUUUACGAAGAGUUUAAUAAAAAUUGUAUUACAUGCUGCGAGCAAGUAUGAGAGAGAAAUAUUUUAUUUAUUUUUAUACGUAAUAUUACAUUUCACAUGUCACAACGAGUUACGAUAUUUUUUGUACAGUUUCACUAGAAAAUAUAGAAGCAUAUUAUUAUAUGUUUUCGCUCCAUCUCUGUUUUGCCUAUUUAUGUAGUGGAGUUUGAUCUAUAGAAAUAUAGAUGUAGCAUGAUCUAUAGAAAUAUCUUAUUUAUUUCUGUACAUAAUAUUACAUUUCACAUGUCAAUGAGUUGCGAUAUAUUUUUUACAGUUUCACUAGAAAAUAUGAAAGCAUAUUAUUAUAUGCUUUCGCUCCAACUCCAUUUUGCCUAUUAAUGUAAAGAAGCCUCAAUACUAAACAGACCCUAAAUGGAUUAUUUGACCAUUAGUCCCCCAAUGUUUAUUCGAUAUUUUUUUAAGUAGUUCCCAAAGUUUUUUUAUUAUUCUAACAAUGAGGUUCCUACACUUUAGCAUUUGUUUCAAUUUAGACACAGACAUUAAGAAUGCUAGUAAUCUUAAUAAUAAUUAUCAUGUGAAAAGAUGUAAUUGGUGUUGACAUGGAAUUGAUGCGGCAAAUAAUAAGAUUCUGUUUGGAUGUCAGAAUAGAUUAUUUAAGAAUAAUUUAUUUAGUGUUUAAAUUUUAUUGUGUACUUGAAAGUUAGGAGUUUGAUUUUUUGCUUCUUAUAGUUCGUGCCAUUUCUGAUUUAAUAGGAUAGCAUAUUUUACUUAUAAUACGAAGCUUUUUAUUCAGAAAAAAUGACUUUGAAGGCUGAAUUUAUGUAUCUUCUGAGUAAGUUAAAGAAAUAUAGCGAAUAAAACACUCGUACAUUUAAACAGGACAAACAUAAUUAGGGAUGUCUAUUGGUACGGAUAUUCAAAAUUUUAUCCAAAUCGGAAUGGAGUCGGCUUACUUGAUACCAAAUGAAGAUGGUUUUUAAAUAUAUGAAUAUGAAAACUGAAAACACGACAUAUUUAGAUUCGGGUAUGGAUUCUGUCAGUACCCAAUCCGAACCACAACCUGAUUUGAUCCCAAAUUGAUUUUAUAUUGUAUAAUAUACAUGAAUAUUUGAUAUUAUAUUUAAAUGUGUAUUUUGAAAGUUUAGAUUGUAAUAUAAUACGUUUUGAAAUAUUGUAAAAAAAAAAUAGCUGUUUCGGGUUCGUGUUCAUAUUUCAGAUUUGGUUGUCGGGUUCAAGUUCGUGUUUUUAAAAUCCGCCCCGAAUUCAAUCCGUUGACAUGUUUAAAAAUAGGGGAGUAAUG